GACGAACGCUGGCGGCGUGCUUAACACAUGCAAGUCGAGCGAUGAAGCUUCUUCGGAAGUGGAUUAGCGGCGGACGGGUGAGUAACACGUGGGUAACCUGCCUCAUAGAGGGGAAUAGCCUUCCGAAAGGAAGAUUAAUACCGCAUAAGAUUGUAAUAUCGCAUGAUAUAGCAAUUAAAGGAGUAAUCCGCUAUGAGAUGGACCCGCGGUCGCAUUAGCUAGUUGGUGAGGUAACGGCUCACCAAGGCGACGAUGCGUAGCCGACCUGAAAGGGGGUGCGGCACAAUUGGGACUGAGAACGGCCCAAGACUCCUAGGGGAGGAGGCGGUGGGGAAUAUUGCAAAAUGGGGAAACCCUGAUGCAGCAACGCCGCGUGAGUGAUGACGGUCUUCGGAUUGUAAAGCUCUGUCUUCAGGGACGAUAAUGACGGUACCUGAGGAGGAAGCCACGGCUAACUACGUGCCAGCCGCCGCAGUAA
rnacentral:rRNA from 1 species